rnacentral:lncRNA from 1 species
UUGAAUGUUUGAAUGUGGAAUGUGUGUUGAAUGUUUUCUAGCUUAUCGUACUUGAUUCAAGUGUAUUCCUUUGGCCGGGGAAUGCCCUGAGGUUUCAUGUGUUCAUUCACAGGAGAAUACCCUAAAAUAUUAUGUCUUUGAAGGAGGUUUAUGAUCAAGGACCGAGGCAUCAGGAAGCAUUAGAGAGUAGUUCGGGAUUAGUAUAGGUAAGCAUAGGUUUAUAUUUCUGCAUUC